GGUUACCGUCAGAUUUCCGUGGGAGUGUGCAGAAUCAGUCCCACGGAUCGAUCAAGGUUUUACGUUACCGAUCGCGGCCACUCGAGAAAGGAGCAAUCGUCCUUCUCUUUCUCUAGUUUCGUGCCUUUUUGCUGUCACCUUUAUCGUGCCUAUUGUCCACCGAUAGCUUCUGAUAAGAUCUGCUCGCUCGCCGAGGUCUUUCAAACCUCAUGAUUCUUUUGUUUUUCGUAAGCAAUUUGCGCAACUUUCGUGGGUAGCUGUCAAAGGGGUUAUACGUUCCACGGCGCGCAGAAUUUUAUAAAAUUUCUAAAAAAUGGAAAUUCUGUUCAUACAGAAAUCGCUGUAGCGAGAGAUAGAUAGAGACAGAGAGAGAGGUGGGUAGAGACGGCGAAUCUAUUUAAAAUAAUCGAUAAUAGCUCGUAACUAACAUAGAACGUGAAUAUAAAGUGGCGCUUUGAUGUUUCUGUUACUUUAAAUUCCACGAUGAAAUAUCGGCGGCUCUCGAAGGCGGAUCUUCGUGGCUCGAACCUUUCGCAAAAACGUCUCAGAAAAUGUAUGCCACUUACAUCUGUUACGUCCGAUCUUGUUUUUGUCGAACUACAGCCAGUGUAAGGAAAAAAGGACGAUCGAGGGAGAAAAGGACAAGGUUACGUUCGUUAUAAGGCGAUCUAGAAGCGAAAGAAUCGAGAUCUUAUCUGCACGUUGCUCAAUCUAAAAAUUGUUGCCCGAGGGUGGCCGGAAACCGGAGCAGGUUUCGUAAACGAAGGUCAAAUAUUCGAGCAGCUAUUCUUUCUCCGUGGUUCGUUUGAAUGUUUGAUUUAUCGAGGCCGUCAACGCCGACAAAAAUUUGCAUAGGCAGCGAAAGAAAACCCGGUAUUCUCAGCGGAUCCUGUCGCCGAAAAAACCAACAAUAAGUUAGCCCAAAGUAGCACAACAAUACCAUCAUAAUGCCAGGUUUGUAAAUUUGAAAGGCAUUUUUUUGCAUACUGGACACAUAAAUCGUCUCGCGACAUAAUUUCCUUCGAUCGCUAUCGGAUUAUUCAAAUCGUUUUUGUCGUCGAAUUGAUAUGUAUUUGCAUCGUAAAUUAACGAGACGCAAAAAGUGAAAUAUUUAUCAUUGGCAGACUGCGAGAUAUGAUAGGAUCGAAAGAUUUGCCAGCGAUAACGCGCGCCACUCUUGCCAAGAACGAACGAACAAUUAUAAGAUUCGAGGGUGUACGCGUAACGGAAUCGAUUAAUGAGAUGCAGCAGAAUGCACGAGCGCGUUAUCAGGCCGGAACAUUCUCAAGAACCACGAAGGAAAUCGACAAGGACGCCUCGAACUCCGGGUUCAAGAUAUUUUUAGGUGGUUCGGAAAUCUCAGACCGCGUACACGUAUGCUGCCCUUUCUCUUUCAGCUGGUUACGAGGACUUUGAGGGAAAGGACAAGACGUCGACCUUGAAGUGCAGACUACAUUACCUUUUUUCUCAUCGUCAUAACGAAAAUAGUGCGAAAGGAAGAUGGUGGGCGGUAUUAAAAGUUAGAAAGAAACGCGCGGACGAACGGUUGACGACAUUCACGGAGGACCAGCUUCUUCGAUUCCAAGUUCUACGUCAGUUUUGCGUGGAUUCCAAAAUAGUAGGUAUGCGUGGAAAGUGAAACGUGCCGCGCGGCGAUACACAUACCUUGGAUUCCGUCGAACUCAGCGAAAGGGUGACGCAGAAGCUGUUUUUAAAAAUUUAUAGCGGCGCCAACCGAACGAUCGGAAUGUAAAUCGUGCCACAUCGAAAUAAACAAAAAAUUUAA